GAUGAAGAACGUAGCGAAAUGCGAUAAGUAAUGUGAAUUGCAGAAUUCAGUGAAUCAUCGAAUCUUUGAACGCACAUUGCGCCCGCCAGCACUCUGGCGGGCAUGCCUGUUCGAGCGUCAUUUCAACCAUCAAGCCCCCAGGGGCUUGUGCUGGGGCCCUGCGGCUGCCCGCAGGCCCUGAAAACCAGUGGCGGGCUCGCUAGUCACACCGAGCGCAGUAGCACAUCUCGCUCAGGGCGUGCGGCGGGCUCCUGCCGUGAAACCCCCCACUGUAACCCCAAAGGUUGACCUCGGAUCAGGUAUGAAUACCCGCUGAACUUAAGCAUAUCAAUAAGCGGAGGA
rnacentral:misc_RNA from 1 species